CGGAGAGGGAGCAUGAGAAACGGCUACCACUUCUAAGGAAGGCAGCAGGCGCGCGAAUUACCCAAUCCUGAUUCAGGGAGGUAGUGACAAGAAAUAACAAUAGUUCGCCCUAGUGGUAAGCUAAUUGGAAUGAGUACAAUUUAAACAUCUUAACGAGCACCAAUUGGAGGGCAAGUCUGGUGCCAGCAGCCGCGGUAAUUCCAGCUCCAAUAGCGUAUACUAAAGUUGUUGCAGUUAAAAAGCUCGUAGUUGGAUUUCUGCGCGGGCGGGGCGGCAGCGGGCUCUUAAACCUGUCUUGCUAGCACCUCCCGCGCAUCCUGCCGCGACCCACGCUACCAUUCACUUGGUGGCGUCUGGCGACCGGCUCGUUUACUUUGAGAAAAAUAGAGUGUUCAAAGCAGGCAUCUCGCCUUGAAUAAUGUAGCAUGGAAUAAUGAUAAAGGACUUUGGUUCUAUUUUGUUGGUGUUCGGGACUGAAGUAAUGAUUGAUAGGGACAGUUGGGGGCGUCUGUAUUCUGAAGCGAGAGGUGAAAUUCUUAGACCUUCGGAAGACAAACAGCUGCGAAAGCGUUCGCCAAGGAUGUUCCCUUUGAUCAAGAACGAAAGUUGGGGGAUCGAAGACGAUCAGAUACCGUCGUAGUCUCAACUAUAACCUAUACCAGCUAGGGAUCGGCCAACGUUGAUUCCAAAAGACUUGGUCGGCACCUUAUGAGAAAUCAAAGCAUCUGGGUUCCGGGGGGAGUAUGGUCGCAAGGCUGAAACUUAAAGGAAUUGACGGAAGGGCACCACCAGGCGUGGAGCCUGUGGCUUAAUUUGACUCAACACGGGGAAACUUACCAGGUCCAGACAUGAGAAGGAUUGACAGAUUGACAGCUCUUUCUUGAUUUUAUGGGUGGUGGUGCAUGGCCGUUCUUAGUUGGUGGAGUGAUUUGUCUGGUUAAUUCCGUUAACGAACGAGACCCCAGCCUGCUAAAUAGCGCGCGUGGCCUCUGGCCGCGGCGAGCUUCUUAGAGGGACUAUGGCUUCGUUAUAGGCCAGGGAAGUUUGGGGCAAUAACAGGUCUGUGAUGCCCUUAGAUGUUCUGGGCCGCACACGGGCUACACUGACGCGUGCAACGAGCAUAUCAGCUGGCCCGAAAGGGUGUGGGCUAAUCUUUUGAACUCGCGUCGUGCUAGGGAUCGACUAUUGCAAUUGUUAGUCGUGCAACGAGGAAUGCCUUGUAAACGCGAGUCAUCAACUCGCAUUGAAUACGUCCCUGCCCUUUGUACACACCGCCCGUCGCUCCUACCGAUGAAUGUUCCGAUGAAAUUUUCGGAGGGCGCGUGUGAAGCGGGCCCCGCCCGCGGAACUAGCUUUGCCCUAAGUUGCUUAAAUCUGAACAUUUCGAGGAAGGAGAAGUCGUAACAAGGUAACC
rnacentral:rRNA from 1 species